GUGGGGAAUUUUGGACAAUGGGCGCAAGCCUGAUCCAGCAAUGCCGCGUGCAGGAAGAAGGCCUUCGGGUUGUAAACUGCUUUUGUACGGAACGAAACGGUCCUGGCUAAUACCCGGGGCUAAUGACGGUACCGUAAGAAUAAGCACCGGCUAACUACGUGCCAGCAGCCGCGGUAAUACGUAGGGUGCGAGCGUUAAUCGGAAUUACUGGGCGUAAAGCGUGCGCAGGCGGUGCUGUAAGACAGGCGUGAAAUCCCCGGGCUCAACCUGGGAAUUGCGCUUGUGACUGCAGUGCUGGAGUGCGGCAGAGGGGGAUGGAAUUCCGCGUGUAGCAGUGAAAUGCGUAGAUAUGCGGAGGAACACCGAUGGCGAAGGCAAUCCCCUGGGCCUGCACUGACGCUCAUGCACGAAAGCGUGGGGAGCAAACAGGAUUAGAAACCCGGGUAGUCC
rnacentral:rRNA from 1 species